GAGGGCAAGGAGUGGAGAGCAUAAAUGAGACUUAGGUAGUUGAGACCUAAGCUGUAAGUGAGGCAAGGUUGAGGAAACAAGCCCCAACCAGAUGACCUCAGCUGCUGGGUCACCCCCUGAACCCCUCUCUGCAUUUACGGGAAAGGUAAGAAAGCCAGAGAAUGGUCUCAGGUCAAGCCAGAACAUUUCACCUGGGGGGUGGGGAGUGGGUUUGUCUACAUGAAUUCUCUGGGAUUUUCCUGGACCCUCAGCCAUCGCCCUGAGGGCAUUGUGUGUCUGGUUUCUGCCUCCUAACAGCAACCCUUCCUGUGACACCUAACGUGCCCCAUAAAUGGGAUAAUUGUGCAUCUUGGGUGGGUAGAAAUGCCAACAGACUCCAUGUGAAGGAACAUAGUUGGGAGGGAUGUCGUUCCAUUAUGAGCAGGACAUUGUCUCACAUUUCUGGAGGUGAAAGUCAUUUUUCUUUCCAGUUGAAGAGGGAACCGUACUUGGUUCUUUGGGUGAAGUAAGUUGGUGAAAGCAAGCUCAGGUAUCUCUUCACCAAACGAAUGAACUCCUGGAGCCAAAAGGCGACAUUCUGUUUUUGUUCUCUGGAAUACUUGUGGUUAGUCCUGGAGGUGGCUGAAGGACUUCUUUUCCCGCCAGGAUGUGCUCCCUCCAGGCUGGGAGCUGUCUCCAUCCACCUCACCCAGUUCCCAGCUAGUGUGUGAUAGGUGCUCAAGCAGUGUUAGGGUGCCGAUGCUAUCAGGGACGUUUUGUCUGAUUUCAAAGAAUUUUAAAGGAAAUGUUUAAAACUAAAAAUCCUGGGUUCAUCCAAUUCCCUUGGUUCUUAAUUCUGUACUGCAGGGAUCACAACUUGCAUCCUUUGUAAGAAGGUUGCUUCUGUUAUGGGGAACUAGUAAGGCCGUGUAAAGUACAGAAGUUCCUUUCCAAAAGGUGGUAAUGAGACAAAUUAAAUGGUAAAGGGUGACCAUGGUUAAUGGGGUGCUUCUGUUAAACUGCCUCUUCAAAAUGAGUUGGUUUUGUAUUUAUUAGUUAAAUAUGUGUUAUGACUUGUCCACUUAAAACAACCUCCAGGCCGGUGUUAGCUCCCUGGUUGCAAGGGCUGGUUCCAGGUUGGCACAUGCUUGGUCCCCAGUAGGAGUUGUGCAGGAGGCAGCCAAUUGAUCGUUAAUGUUUCUAACUCUCCCUCUGUCUGGAAUCAAAAAUAUAUUUACAAAGAACAAUACCGGAGCAGUUUCAGGUACUGAAUGAAGUCUCUAGGGAUCCUGAUGCCCUGCUUAUUAUUGGGAAAGUUAUUUCUGUAGGUGAGGUUUUUGACAAUUUUGUGAAGAGCCAGCAAAGGCAGCUAGCUCUUCCUCUGGUGAGAGAACUACAGCUUGGUCCUUUUUUACAGAUCUGGGAUCGGGGGAAGGCAGGGUGAGUGGAGGGAGAGGUUCCUCUAACAUGGUCAUCACAGUUAACUGCGGGAAGGGUGCGGAAUGGAAUGAGAUACCAAGAAGAGGUGUUGAGAGAACCAAGAUCCUGCACAAUUUCUCUGCUGUGACUUCUGGAGGUUUUUAUUUCCACUUGGAGAUUUUUGCUAUGGGUGUUCUUUAGGACUGCCUGGUCUUCUGGUCUUCCUCUAAAUCGGGGGUAACUCACCUGAGGGUUACUAAUGACGGGGAAGUAUAAGGAACACUUGUCCUGCCAAAAUGCCAGUGUCCCCGUGAGCCGAACUUCUCUCAAUACUUCCAGAGUAUUAGCUCUUCUGUAAUGUGGUCCAGGCCCUUGGGCUGCAAACAUGACUUGGUUCCCUGCAGAGUAGUCUUCUGGAUGGAAAGGGGGGCGUCUGUGGAUCUGGUUUACCUCUUUACUUAUGUAGGAACGUUUGUGUAAUUAAAAUUAGGUAUGAAACUUUAAUUUCACAAGUUUUUUGCUUUACUAGGUCUAGUAAGUGUGUGUUCAGUCACCAUGAGUAAACAUGCACCUGCUGCGGAACAUCCAGCCUGGCCAGAGUAAGAGUCCUGGCUGGUGUGACCUGCCCAGGUGUGGGCUGGAUCUCCAAUAGGGGGCUGGCAGGAAGUAGCCAUCCCCAUUUCUCUCUCUCCCUUCCUCUAUCUCUAAAACCAAUAAAAAUAUUAAACUGCUGCAUAAGUCACACGACAAUCGAACUAGUUAUCAUGAUGCAGUGUGAUUACAUGCUAAUCAUUCCCUGAACAUUGUUUACAAGCAGUGUGGACUGUAAUUGUAGCUAUGUAAUGCUUGUUGGUGAAAUUACUAGUGUUUUCCCCACUGUAUGGCCUAUUUGCUAAAUUUUGUUAAAAGUAACUGAAUAACCUGUUGCUUUAAUUAUAGGCUGAUAUUGGUUAUUAAUAGGGUGUUCCUUUUCACAUAUGAUAUACUGACUAGAAAUUUUGUCCAUUCAAUCUGAAGUCUAUUAAAUCAGGGUCCAUAAAAUUGAGGUGUUUACUGUAUCGUCUAGCUAAAAACUAGAAAUCUUGUUUCAUUUUUGCCCUUUCUGUGCAUAUUUUAAAGUAAAUCUCAAACAUAUACUAUUUUAUCUGCAUCUAUUAAGUCUUCGCCUUAGGGUUUAUUUUCUAUAAGGGAGGGAGA